AACGAACGCUGGCGGCAUGCCUAACACAUGCAAGUCGAACGAGACCUUCGGGUCUAGUGGCGCCCGGGUGCGUAACGCGUGGGAACCUGCCCUUAGGUUCGGAAUAACUCCCCGAAAGGGGUGCUAAUACCGGAUAAUGUCUUCGGACCAAAGAUUUAUCGCGUUUGGAUGGGCCCGCGUUGGAUUAGCUAGUUGGUAGUGUAAAAGCCUACCAAGGCGACGAUCCAUAGCUGGUCUGAGAGGAUGAUCAGCCACACUGGGACUGAGACACGGCCCAGACUCCUACGGGAGGCAGCAGUGGGGAAUAUUGGACAAUGGGCGAAAGCCUGAUCCAGCAAUGCCGCGUGAGUGAUGAAGGCCUUAGGGUUGUAAAGCUCUUUUACCCGGGAUGAUAAUGACAGUACCGGGCGAAUAAGCUCCGGCUAACUCCGUG
rnacentral:rRNA from 1 species